GCAUGGCUGAAUACUGUGUUCUUUAGUCAGUAAUUUACACAGCCAGACACCAUGCAAAAGUAAAGUCUUCUUUUAAAAUGAUUGGUAUGCUGUUUUUUUUAAAUGGUAUAUCAUUACUAAAAGUAAGUACAAAU